UUAAAUGCUUUGCAAGGAAGAGUAAAUAUUUAAACUAGCUACAGAGAACUAGGAGGAGCUGAGAACCUAGGUUAGUAAGAAUAUUGAAGAUGGUCCUUAAGCUAUAUAGUUGAACUAGUAGUAGACUAUAUCGGUUAGCUAUCGUUAAUAGCCUCAAAGUAGUCAUCUAACGAGAUGAUAAAUAGGGUGGUACCGCGACCUCUCGCCCCUAGC
rnacentral:ncRNA from 1 species